UGUGACUAACGGUGCAGCGCAGCACUCAUAAUGCUGAGGUCGGUGGUUCAAGUCCACCCGUAGCCACCA
rnacentral:tRNA from 1 species